rnacentral:rRNA from 1 species
UACGUAGGGGGCUAGCGUUGUCCGGAUUUAUUGGGCGUAAAGAGCGUGUAGGCGGCCAGGUAGGUCUGGUGUGAAAACUCGAGGCUUAACCUCGAGAUGUCAUCGGAAACCAUCUGGCUAGAGUCCGGAAGAGGAGAGUGGAAUUCCUGGUGUAGCGGUGAAAUGCGCAGAUAUCAGGAGGAACACCUAUUGCGAAGGCAGCUCGCUGGGACGUUACUGACGCUGAGACGCGAAAGCGUGGGGAGCAAACAGG